CCUACGGGUGGCAGCAGUGGGGAAUAUUGCACAAUGGGGGAAACCCUGAUGCAGCAACGCCGCGUGGGUGAAGGAGCGUUUCGGCGCGUAAAGCCCUGUCAGCGGGGAAGAAGAAAGACGGUACCCGACCAAGAAGCCCCGGCUAACUACGUGCCAGCAGCCGCGGUAAUACGGAGGAUGCGAGCGUUAUCCGGAUAUAUGGGGUUUAAAGGGUUCGUAGGCGGGAUGCCAAGUCAGCGGUAAAAUCGCGGGGCUCAACCUCGUGCCGCCGUUGAAACUGGCGUUCUUGAGUGGGCGAGAAGUAUGCGGAAUGCGUGGUGUAGCGGUGAAAUGCAUAGAUAUCACGCAGAACUCCGAUUGCGAAGGCAGCAUACCGGCGCCCAACUGACGCUGAAGCACGAAAGCGUGGGUAUCGAACAGGAUUAGAUACCCCAGUAGUC
rnacentral:rRNA from 1 species